rnacentral:rRNA from 1 species
UACGUAGGGUGCAAGCGUUUAAUCGGAAUACUGGGCGUAAAGCGUGCGCAGGCGGUUUGUAAGUUUGUCGUGAAAGCCCCGGGCUCAACCUGGGAACUGCAUUUGUGACUGCAUGGCUAGAGUACGGUAGAGGGGGAUGGAAUUCCGCGUGUAGCAGUGAAAUGCGUAGAUAUGCGGAGGAACACCGAUGGCGAAGGCAAUCCCCUGGACCUGUACUGACGCUCAUGCACGAAAGCGUGGGGAGCAAACAGG